UACGUAGGUGGCAAGCGUUGUCCGGAUUUACUGGGCGUAAAGGAUGCGUAGGUGGAUAUGCAAGUCAGAUGUGAAAUACCCGGGCUUAACUCGGGUGCUGCAUUUGAAACUAUAUAUCUAGAGUGCAGGAGAGGUAAGUGGAAUUCCUAGUGUAGCGGUGAAAUGCGUAGAGAUUAGGAAGAACACCAGUGGCGAAGGCGACUUACUGGACGAUAACUGACGCUGAGGCGCGAAAGCGUGGGGAGCAAACAGG
rnacentral:rRNA from 1 species